rnacentral:rRNA from 1 species
GAUGAACGCUGGCGGCGUGCCUAAUACAUGCAAGUCGAGCUAAGCGGGGACGGGUGAGUAACACGUGGAUAACCUCCUAUAAGACUGGGAUAACUUCCGGAAACCGGAGCUAAACCGGAAACUUAUUGAUGGAUCCGCGCUGCAUUAGCUAGUUGGUAGGGUAACGGCGUACCAAGGCAACGAUGCAUAGCCGACCUGAGAGGGUGAUCGGCCACACGGGAACUGAGACACGGUCCAGCUUCCUACGGGAGGCAGCAGUGGGGAAUCUUCCACAAUGGGCGAAAGCCUGACGGAGCAAGGCCGCGUGAGUGAUGAAGGUCUUCGGGUCGUAAAACUCUGUUAUUCGGGAGGCGGUACCUGAACAGAAAGCCACGGCUAACUACGUGCCAGCCGCCGCGGUAAUUC